UAUCGGAUUGGUACUAAGCCAUGUGAGUCAUUGUAGCAAUACAAGGCAUACGGCUCAGUAACACGUAGUCAAUCUAACCUAUGGACGGGGAUAACCUCGGGAAACUGAGAAUAAUCCGCGAUAGAUCAUUAAUCCUGGAACGGUUUAUGGUCGAAAUGAUUCGUCGCCAUAGGAUGGGACUGCGGCCUAUCAGCUUGUUGGUGAGGUAAUGGCCCACCAAGGCUAUUACAGGUACGGGCUCUGAGAGGAGAAGCCCGGAGAUGGGUGCUGAGACACGGACCCAGGCCCUAUGGGGCGCAGCAGGCGAGAAACCUUUGCAAUGUGCGCAAGCACGACAAGGUUAAUCCGAGUGUUUCCUGCUAAAGGAAUCUUUUGUUAGUUCUAAAACCACUGAUGAAUAAGGGGUGGGCAAGUU
rnacentral:rRNA from 1 species